rnacentral:lncRNA from 1 species
GUGAAAAACAUUGGUGUGGGUUAACUCCACAGAUGAAACCAAGUUAAGAGCCCAGGCUGCAGUGCUGAUCAUUUGAAUCGUUUCCUGCUGUGAGGAGAGACUCUGAGUGAUGUCCCGAACUGAGGAACUGCUCCUGGUCUGUAUGCUCCGAACAGCUCUGGCACAGGAGAAAAUACCCCUCGUGGUGCCCAGUUCAUGUCCUGGAGCCACCAAAAGUGAAGGAGCAAGGAGGAGUGGAAGCUUAGGAAAAAGGCCCAUGAAGAAGAUUGUGUUUAAUCUUUAUAAAAAGUGAAGACAAGUCCGAGUGAAGUGUUGAAGGUGAUUGGAUGCCUAAAAUUCUUCAAGAAGGAAAGCAACGAUCUGUCAACAACCUCUGACCCUCUUGCUGAGCAGGGCACAGAGCAAUGUGCUUGCCGAGAGGGAACUCGGCUGCAUGGAGACACUUCUUAGAUGCCAGCACCAGAGCUUCGUAAGAACAAACUAGCUGUGCAUCUGCUAGGGCCAACAAAAAUAUGCUUGGGUGGAGAGAGGAUUUGCAGCCCCUUUCUGCAGCUUUGUCUUUUGCUGCCAGGUUGUCACCAGUUCCUUCCAGUUUUCAGAUUUAUUUGAUCGCAGAUGACAUCUUAAACCUAAAAUGGUCCAAAUUUUGGGGCACAGUGCAGAAAUCUCAUGAGCUUACCUAACAGCAGCUCUCUGAAGCACUAGUAUCAGAAUGCUUUUAGUCCUAAGAUGGGAAG